GUGUUAAAACAUAACCAAACACUCCAGGACCUUGGGAAAGAAAUCUGUAUCAGACAUGUGGGCUUCAUUAAGGGAAAUGCCUUCAGAAGAUUAUUUUUCCAUGUUAUGAGAAAAAAUCUCAACAACCACAGCAGAUGUUCCGGUGCCCAGGUGACCUAGAAGCUUCAUGUGGAGGUGACGGAACUUCAGUAGGCCUGGAAGUGAAGCAGUAUCUUCUGCCCUCAAUCUUGUGAUGAAUGUUUUCUCAGUAUCCUAUGCUGAAAACAGGUAGAUACUAAUCCCUCCUUCAAGGGAGGGCUGUUGAGUAUUGAAUAAGAUAAAAACAUGGAAGCAAUCAGCACAAUGCUGGAGAGCUUUUAUAUAACCAAAGAUAUUUUUGGACCAUGAAUUCGGAAAUUCUCGGAGCCACCCAUCAAUGCCUGAGCUUCAGUGAGUCCAUAUCCCAUGUCACCUACGGCAAAGGAGAAUCUGAGACUUCUGAAGAGUUUCUUGCUUCUUUCCUGUGGGGCAGUGACUCCACUUCCCAGCAGUAAUGGAAUAUCCUGAAUUAGCUACAUUAAUGUUAGAACCAUUUGGACCUCACCCAGGACUUCAACUACAUUGUGAGUAACUCCUGGACGACUGGCACAGAAGAAGGCACAAGGCAAAUACCCAUCUCUGUACACCCUGUGCUACUGUGUCAUGUGCUGCUCCAGGCAACUCCAAUGGAUUGGCCACCCUGGCCAAUGUGUUCUAGUAUGUUAGGUUUAUGUUCCCCUGCUUUCUACAAUCCUGUUCAAAGAGUUGCUGACUUAACCACAGAGAGAAUUCCAGAACAUGAGACACAGAAUAAACUUGAACAAUCAUAGUCCAUCCACUUCAUUUUCUCAUCGAAAACCAAAGGUCCAGUGAGGCUCUGGAACUCGACGCUGUAAAGGAGCGAAGGAGCAUCUAUACAGA
rnacentral:antisense_RNA from 1 species